rnacentral:rRNA from 1 species
ACCCGCUGAACUUAAGCAUAUCAAUAAGCGGAGGAAAAGAAACCAACAGGGAUUGCCCUAGUAACGGCGAGUGAAGCGGCAACAGCUCAAAUUUGAAAUCUGGCGUCUUUGGCGUCCGAGUUGUAAUUUGCAGAGGGCGCUUUGGCAUUGGCAGCGGUCCAAGUUCCUUGGAACAGGACGUCACAGAGGGUGAGAAUCCCGUACGUGGUCGCUAGCCUUUACCGUGUAAAGCCCCUUCGACGAGUCGAGUUGUUUGGGAAUGCAGCUCUAAAUGGGAGGUAAAUUUCUUCUAAAGCUAAAUACUGGCCAGAGACCGAUAGCGCACAAGUAGAGUGAUCGAAAGAUGAAAAGUACUUUGGAAAGAGAGUUAAAAAGCACGUGAAAUUGUUGAAAGGGAAGCGCUUGCAGCCAGACUUGCCUGUAGUUGCUCAUCCGGGUUUUUACCCGGUGCACUCUUCUAUAGGCAGGCCAGCAUCAGUUUGGGCGGUUGGAUAAAGGUCUCUGUCACGUACCUCCUCUCGGGGAGAACUUAUAGGGGAGACGUAAUGCAACCAGCCUGGACUGAGGUCCGCGCAUCUGCUAGGAUGCUGGCGUAAUGGCUGUAAGCGGCCCGUCUUGAAACACGGACCAAGGAGUCUAACAUCUAUGCGAGUGUUUGGGUGUCAAGCCCGAGCGCGUAAUGAAAGUGAACGGAGGUGGGAACCUUUCGGGGUGCACCAUCGACCGAUCCUGAUGUCUUCGGAUGGAUUUGAGUAAGAGCAUAGCUGUUGGGACCCGAAAGAUGGUGAACUAUGCUUGAAUAGGGUGAAGCCAGAGGAAACUCUGGUGGAGGCUCGCAGCGGUUCUGACGUGCAAAUCGAUCGUCAAAUUUGGGCAUAGGGGCGAAAGACUAAUCGAACUAUCGAGUA